rnacentral:tRNA from 1 species
GCAGGGGUAGAGUAAAAGGUAACUCACCAGACUCAUGAUCUGUGGAUGCAAGUUCAAUUCUUGCUCCCUGCA